rnacentral:lncRNA from 1 species
GUCCCCGGCGCCGCCGUGGAGCUUCGCCCGGGCCGACCGCGCCGUUUCAGCCCUGCUCGGCUUUUCCCGGCCUCGCUCGGGAGAAGGAAGGAGUUCAUCUAGCUAAAAAAAAAAAAAAAGGGAAAGAGAGAAAGGAUGAGCUGAGAGCGCGGUGGGGAGAGACUCCAGGUCCAGGCCUGGACCGGGCGCUCCUGAUCUGCCCUCCCCAGCCCUGUCCCCAGGUCUGUCCUUUGCCUGGGCUGGAUGAGUUAUGUGCUGCACUUGAGAGAUCUGCCAGCUUGGAAAGAAGUCCCCAUCUUGUCCCACCUCCCCGGAGCCUGUCCUCCGGCCCUUUGGUGGCCGGGCAGGGUGGGAACUGGGACUCUCCCACCCCCCGGAUCACGCGGGCGGGCCGUGCCUUGUGUUUGCUGUUCUUGUGCACGUCCACACGAAGUGACACCGAGCCUGUCCCCCACACGCUGGGGUGGCAGGGCUUAUUUUAAAAGGGGUAACGUGGGCUUCUCCCGGAGGCAGCAGGGGCCAUAGCUAUCCCGGUCUCCCAGGAAGUGAGAGCGUCCGCCUCUCUAUGUGCCACAGGCUUCCUUUGUUCCCCUGGUCUUCCCCGGUCUCUCUCCUUCCUGCUAGUGACUGGGCCAGGAGGUGCUCGGAGGGAGGGCCCCAAGGUGAGAAGAGAGGGGCUGGAGGGGCCUGGUGGAGUGACCUGGGCCGGAAGGCGGGUGAUUAACAACUUCCUGUAGGAGGGGACAAUCCCUGGGACAGGUCACCUUAGCCGCUGGUGGGAGCCGAGGCAGGUUAUCUUGAUAAGGUGGAAGGAAGGGCUCUGAAGGAAUCCGCAUUUCAGUCCUCCCCGUUCUCUGAUCCCCACCCUUGCCUAUCUGCCUGUCGGAUUCUGGCUUCAGAGGGGGCUCUGUCUGGACCGCCCUUGAAGGUGGAGAAUGGACCCUCUGGGAGGCCUCAAGGACAGGGUGAGGGGGAGGAGUGGCGAAAGACCCCCAAUGCGACCUCUCACUUGGGAGUUUUGUCUAGAGUCAGUCUCUGCUGGUUUUCCUACUCCAGCAAACUCAUGAUUACUAUCAUUAAUGAGAGAAAGCUAAGACCUCAACCAGACCAUUCUGUCCAGUUUCUCUCUGCAAGGUCCUUCUGAAGUGUGUCUGGAAUGAACCAGAAAGAAUACAGACGCAUGAAUUCAACAGAGGAUGUGGAACACCUGGUCAUCGCUCUGACCAGUGGGCAGUCUACCAGUGCACUCGGUUUCCUUAAAAUGCUCAAAGAGAAGGAGAAAUAAAGGGGGGAAAGCAAGGCCAAAGGCCCUCCAAGGACCCACACGGGCCUCCAGGACCCAGUGGUGUGGGAGGUUUGCUGCCGGGUUGUGGUGUACUCUAACCUACCCAGACCUGCCUCUGCUUGGGAAGCUGGCCCAAGAGGAGUCUGGGGAAGACUCACAGCAGUGUCACAUUUGAGGUGACAUUUAAUGAUAGUAUUAGACAUGGAAAAUGACAACCCCCAAAAGUAGGGGGCCCUGGGAUAAGGGAGUGAGAAGGAAAGGCCAACGUUGAGAGCACUGAUCCUUUCCCAGUCAUGAAACAAACCCUGAGGAAGAGGUGUCCAUCAAACCUAGAAAGGCAGUCUCUGGGAAGAGGCUGAAGCAUUAACCCUUCUAAAAACAAAUCCUUUCCAGAUAACAAUCACUGACCCCAGGCCCUCCUUCAGGUCCAGUACAAUAAAUUCCAGAAACUGACUACUGACCCUAGACUCCCUCCCAUUUCAAACAAACCCUAAAUUCCUAAGCACUAACACUGACUCCUUCACUGAUUGAUAGAGCAAACUCCAAAUUCCUGGGUGCCCAGAGAAAAUUGAUAUGCUCACCAGACCACCUCUCAGAAUAACCUGUAUGAGCCCAGGCCCCUUCUUUGUUUGGGGGCUCAUUUUCCACCCGGAAAGUGGGUCCCACCACAGCUCACUUCAUUCCUGCAUCCCCUGCUUCUGUGUGAAACUUGCUUUCUGAAUGAAGCGCUGAGCAGAUUUGUGAAGUUUGCGUUCAUCCUGGUCUUUUUGUGCUAACAGAUAGAGGUUCACCAGGGAAACAGGGAACGCAAACUCAGAACAGGGCGAGAGACAGGAGGUUGUUCACUGUUACAGGACGAUGUGUCACCAGACUUCUUUUCUCUCAGUGCAGCUGGUAGAGCAUUCCUCAACAUGCCGUUUCCUGUGCCACAAGACCUGACUCAGGGAAGAACACACUCUGUAGUCACCUACAGACAUUACACACAUUCUGCCCACCCAGAGAUGGACACUUCCCACUAUAAAUGGGCAGUGGACAUUCUGAGUUUUGUUAGUCAGCUUCCUGCUUCUUUGUGGGGACAAAUGGAACACACUAGUAUUAGCCUGUGGAGUAAAAGACAAACUCCUUUCAAUCACAAGACAGAAGAACAAAGGGGGAGAAAACCUACAAGGAUAAUAACUAUUCUAGAUUCCCGCGGGGAAGGAGAGCAUCGAGCUGUCCUUGCUUGUGAUUACUGGUUACUUUGCCUAAAGAGUUGCAAACCGUGUCUUCCUCGUUUCAGGGAGAAGGAUAAGCUCCUUUAGGUGUCCAGGGCAUUUCUUUUUCCCCCAGUUAGAUUUUGGUGAAUAAACUGUCCUGGCAUCUAGAACUCAUUAACAUUUUAAAGGAUAUUUUUAUCCUUCUUGCCUUGAGCCCUAAGAAUUGAAGCCAGGGCAGUUUCAAAUAAAACAAAGAAGGGUGGAGACUGAACUCCAGGCCUGCAAUUUUCUGAUGUCAAACCUUUGGAAGAGAGUUAACAAUUCACUGUCCAGCACAAAAUAUACCAAAUGCUUGUUGAAUGAAUUAACAAUGAACAAACUGAAAAUGAAUGAAUGAAUGGAUAGUCACCUACUUGUUGUUUCCUAGCUGGUUAGUGAUUUGCUAGAUUGAGAAUUCAGUUACAGUUUGUCAAGUUCCAAAAUUUGUAUUGAUAAGGAUUUUGAGACCAAUUGCAGUCAUUCAGAAUUAUUCAGAGUCCCAGCUUUGCUAAAGAUGUUCUACCUCAAUGCAAAGUAUUUAAAAAUUUAAAAUAUAGAUAAGAAGCCAUUCCUUCUACAUUUAAUGAAAGAUAUUGGGACAACAGGCAGCAAUUAUACAAUUGGUUGGCAAUUAUACAGUAGAAUUCAGUGAUGGUGCCAGGUAUCCCGCCCUCUGAUAAAUCAAAGCAGACAAGAUUCAACCCAAUUAUGUGCCACAUAAAUUGUUUUUGAUAUGCUGAAAGAUCUUUUUGUGGGAAGGUCAGAGUCUGAAACACAAGCAGAUAGGUUCUCCUGCUGAAGAGAACAGUCGCAGUAAAAACACAGGGACGGCAGGGUGGGACUUAGAAAUCUGGCAUUAAAAAGUAUCCGCAAGAAACCAACAAUCUUACCAUAAAGGGACAGAGAACAAGUGCAACCUGCGAAACUCAGUAAAGGGGAGAGUCUGGAAUCUGCCACCGGGACAUUGCUACCUGCUCCGUGCAAUUUAUUAGUCAUGGAUAUAAAUAGAAUUAUGGUUUUGAAAUAAGAGGUCAGUAUUACGCUGGUGAUGACAUCGUUGCUUUCUUCUGUGUCGCUUAUUUUCAAAGAGUAAAAGGAAAAUAAAAAACCAGAGGGCUAUUUAAAACAAGAAACAAAAAACAGAGAAUAUAAACACGAACAACCACUUGGGGGCGCAUUAACUAAACUGCUCCACCUUCCUUUAUGAUGACUGAAAGCCCAGAGCCGCAGCGGCUCGUUGGUCUAGGGGUAUGAUUCUCGCUUAGGGUGCGAGAGGUCCCGGGUUC